AGCCCGAUGUCAGGCUCGAGCCGAGGACCCUAAGAUCAUGACCUGAGCUGAAGGCAGAGGCUUUGAAUACUCCUUAAAGGAUCUAGACCACUCCAGCUGCUGUACAGAGAAUGGAUUGUGGAAGGUUAAAGUGAAAACAGUGGCCUUGGAAAAGAGAUGGCGGUGGCCUCAUCUAGGGAGGAGCAGAAGAUUUAAUUUAUUUAACAGAGAGAGAGAGAGA